ensembl:snRNA
GUGUUAUAUGAAAGGAGAGAAGGUUUACACUCCGCUUGACAAGAAUGGAAGAGGCCUUGGCCUGCACCACCCAUGCGGUUAAGGCAGUGUUACCUACUUCUUUC